rnacentral:rRNA from 1 species
AACGAACGCUGGCGGCAGGCCUAACACAUGCAAGUCGAGCGAGGACUUCGGUCCUAGCGGCUGACGGGUGAGUAACGCGUGGGAACGUGCCCUUUGCUUCGGAAUAUCCCUGGGAAACUGGGAGGAAUACCGGAUGAGCCCUUUGGGGUAAAGAUUUAUCGUCGAAGGAUCGGCCCGCGUUGGAUUAGGUAGUUGGGUGGGUAAUGGCCUACCAAGCCGACGAUCCAUAGAUGGUUUGAGAGGAUGAUCAGCCACACUGGGACUGAGACACGGCCCAGAAUCCUACGGGAGGCAGCAGUGGGGAAUCUUAGACAAUGGGGGAAACCAUGAUCUAGCCAUGCCGCGUGAGCGAUGAAGGCCUUAGGGUUGUCAAGCUCUUUCAGCUGGGCAGAUAAUGACGGUACCAGCAGAAGAAGCCCCGGCUAACUCCGUG